rnacentral:rRNA from 1 species
GACGAACCGUGCAAACGUUGUUCGGAAUCACUGGGCUUAAAGGGCGCGUAGGCGGGUGAUCAAGUCAGGGGUGAAAUCUUUCGGCUCAACCGGAAAAGUGCCCCUGAUACUGAUCGUCUCGAGGGAGGUAGGGGUAUGUGGAACUUCUGGUGGAGCGGUGAAAUGCGUUGAUAUCAGAAGGAACGCCGGUGGCGAAAGCGACGUACUGGACCUCUUCUGACGCUGAGGCGCGAAAGCCAGGGGAGCGAACGGG